CACGUAGGGCGCAAGCGUUGUCCGGAAUUAUUGGGCGUAAAGAGCGUGUAGGCGGCCUGGAAGGUCAGCUGUGAAAACUCGAGGCUCAACCUCGAGACGUCGGUUGAAACCACCUGGCUAGAGUCCGGAAGAGGAGUGUGGAAUUCCCGGUGUAGCGGUGAAAUGCGCAGAUAUCGGGAAGAACACCCGUGGCGAAGGCGGCACUCUGGGACGGUACUGACGCUGAGACGCGAAAGCGUGGGGAGCGAACAGG
rnacentral:rRNA from 1 species